UACGAAGGGGGCUAGCGUUGUUCGGAAUCACUGGGCGUAAAGCGCACGCAGGCGGAUCGAUAAGUCGGGGGUGAAAGCCCGGGGCUCAACCUCGGAAUUGCCUUCGAUACUGUCGGUCUCGAGUCCGGGAGAGGUGAGUGGAAUUCCUAGUGUAGAGGUGAAAUUCGUAGAUAUUAGGAAGAACACCAGUGGCGAAGGCGGCUCACUGGCCCGGUACUGACGCUGAGGUGCUAAAGCGUCGGGAGCAAACAGG
rnacentral:rRNA from 1 species